rnacentral:lncRNA from 1 species
AUUUGGUCGCUAUUCAGAACAAAGCUAAUUGUCUUUUAUUGAAAAAGCAAAAUUACCAACAAACUUAUAUAAUGCUAACAGAUGAGUCGUAAGUGGAGAAAGCUGCUAAAGUGAAGAUGAAUGAUUCUAUAAGAAAAAAUAAUUUUUGUGUAUUGAAAAAUAUAAAAUUACGAGCAAACUUAUACAAGACUAGAAGAUGAAAGACAAUAGAAGAAGCAGAUAAAGUAGGAAGGUAGAUAAAGUAGCGUGCACCUUUCUCUCAAAAAAAAACAAUGAUUCUCUAGAAAAAAAUUAUUUUUUGUGCAUUGAA